rnacentral:rRNA from 1 species
ACGCUGGCGGCAGGCUUAACACAUGCAAGUCGAACGGUAACAGGGAUUAGCUUGCUAAUCUGCUGACGAGUGGCGGACGGGUGAGUAAUGCUUGGGAAUCCGGCUUAUGGAGGGGGAUAACUACGGGAAACUGUAGCUAAUACCGCGUAAAAUCUUCGGAUUAAAGGGUGGGACUUUCGAGCCACCUGCCAUAAGAUGAGCCCAAGUGGGAUUAGGUAGUUGGUUAGGUAAAGGCUGACCAAGCCGACGAUCUCUAGCUGGUCUGAGAGGAUGACCAGCCACACUGGAACUGAGACACGGUCCAGACUCCUACGGGAGGCAGCAGUGGGGAAUAUUGCACAAUGGGGGGAACCCUGAUGCAGCCAUGCCGCGUGAAUGAAGAAGGCCUUCGGGUUGUAAAGUUCUUUCGGUGACGAGGAAGGCUGGUAGGUUAAUAGCCUAUCAAAUUGACGUUAAUCACAGAAGAAGCACCGGCUAACUCCGUGCCAGCAGCCGCGGUAAUACGGGGGGUGCGAGCGUUAAUCGGAAUAACUGGGCGUAAAGGGCACGCAGGCGGUGACUUAAGUGAGAUGUGAAGGCCCCGAGCUUAACUUGGGAAUUGCAUUUCAUACUGGGUCGCUAGAGUACUUUAGGGAGGGGUAGAAUUCCAUGUGUAGCGGUGAAAUGCGUAGAGAUGUGGAGGAAUACCGAAGGCGAAGGCAGCCCCUUGGGAAUGUACUGACGCUCAUGUGCGAAAGCGUGGGGAGCAAACAGGAUUAGAUACCCUGGUAGUCCACGCUGUAAACGAUGUCGAUUUGGGGAUUGGGCUUUGAGCUUGGUGCCCGUAGCUAACGUGAUAAAUCGACCGCCUGGGGAGUACGGCCGCAAGGUUAAAACUCAAAUGAAUUGACGGGGGCCCGCACAAGCGG